GGAUAUAGGUUAGGAUUGUAUCGAUUAUUUUUCUUUUUCUUGUUUUGAUUUUUUUUUUUCUCCUUCGUUAUACU
rnacentral:ribozyme from 1 species